rnacentral:misc_RNA from 1 species
AAGUCGUAACAAGGUCUCCGUUGGUGAACCAGCGGAGGGAUCAUUACCGAGUUUACAAACUCCCAAACCCUUUGUGAACCUUACCAUAACGUUGCUUCGGCGGGACCGCCCCGGCGCCCUCGCGGCCCGGACCCAGGCGCCCGCCGGAGACCCCAAACUCUAUGUUUUACUGUACAUCUCCUCUGAGUGACACAUAAACAAUAAAUAAAAACUUUCAACAACGGAUCUCUUGGUUCUG